rfam:Branchiibius sp. NY16-3462-2 contig_51, whole genome shotgun sequence.
GGUGGUCCCUCACGCGGUGGUACCUCACUGAACUCCCCCAGGGCAGGAAUGCAGCAAGGGCAGGUGAGCUCUUCCAGGUGCGUGAGGGAUCUUCACA